rnacentral:lncRNA from 1 species
ACUGUAUAUCGGAGUUAUGAUUGAUGUUUUUGAUUAUGGAUACUUUUUGUAUUAUCCGAUUGAAAUAUGAAACUAAUCUUAUUGAAAAGGAGAUUUGAUUCGAGAUGGAUUUUGACUCAUAGCUGACUGUAUAUCAAAAUUCUACCAAUGGGAGUUAUAUGUUGGUAUAUCAAUAUCCUAUCAGUAUACGUUGUGCACUGGUACAUCUUUAUCGUACCAAUAGAGAUUAUGCACUG